rnacentral:rRNA from 1 species
AGAGUUUGAUCCUGGCUCAGGAUGAACGCUAGCGGGAGGCCUAACACAUGCAAGUCGAGCGGGAUUCACUUUCGGGUGAUGAGAGCGGCGCACGGGUGAGUAACGCGUAUGCAACCUACCUUAAACAGGGGAAUAGCCCAGGGAAACUUGGAUUAAUACCUUAUAAUAUUAUUAGACGGCAUCGUUUAAUAAUUAAAGCUCCGGCGGUUUAAGAUGGGCAUGCGUGACAUUAGUUAGUUGGUGAGGUAACGGCUCACCAAGACUACGAUGUCUAGGGGUUCUGAGAGGAUGAUCCCCCACACUGGUACUGAGACACGGACCAGACUCCUACGGGAGGCAGCAGUGAGGAAUAUUGGUCAAUGGGCGCAAGCCUGAACCAGCCAUCCCGCGUGCAGGAUGACGGCCCUAUGGGUUGUAAACUGCUUUUAUACACCAAGAAAAAUCCCCACGUGUGGGGACCCGACGGUAGUGUAUGAAUAAGCAUCGGCUAACUCCGUGCCAGCAGCCGCGGUAAUACGGAGGAUGCAAGCGUUAUCCGGAUUCAUUGGGUUUAAAGGGUGCGUAGGCGGCUUUUUAAGUCAGUGGUGAAAGUUUUCAGCUUAACGGUAGAAUUGCCAUUGAUACUGAAAAGCUUGAGUACAGUUGAGGUAAGCGGAAUGUGUAGUGUAGCGGUGAAAUGCUUAGAUAUUACACAGAACACCAAUGGCGAAGGCGACUUCCUGGCCUGUUACUGACGCUGAUGCACGAAAGCGUGGGGAGCGAACAGGAUUAGAUACCCUGGUAGUCCACGCCGUAAACGAUGCUCACUCGCUGUUUGCGAUACACAGCAAGCGGCCAAGCGAAAGCAUUAAGUGAGCCACCUGGGGAGUACGAUCGCAAGGUUGAAACUCAAAGGAAUUGACGGGGGCCCGCACAAGCGGAGGAACAUGUGGUUUAAUUCGAUGAUACGCGAGGAACCUUACCCGGGCUUGAAAUGCAUCUGACGUACCUGGAAACAGGUAUUCUAGCAAUAGCAGAUGUGUAGGUGCUGCAUGGUUGUCGUCAGCUCGUGCCGUGAGGUGUCGGCUUAAGUCCCAUAACGAGCGCAACCCUUAUCAUUAGUUGCCAGCGGGUCAAGCCGGGAACUCUAAUGAGACUGCCACCGUAAGGUGUGAGGAAGGUGGGGAUGACGUCAAAUCAGCACGGCCCUUAUGUCCAGGGCGACACACGUGUUACAAUGGCCGGUACAGAGGGUUGCUACCUGGUGACAGGAUGCUAAUCCCAUAAAGUCGGUCCCAGUUCGGAUUGGAGUCUGCAACCCGACUCCAUGAAGUUGGAUUCGCUAGUAAUCGCGCAUCAGCCAUGGCGCGGUGAAUACGUUCCCGGGCCUUGUACACACCGCCCGUCAAACCAUGGGAGCUGGGGGUGCCUGAAGUCUGCCACCGCAAGGAGCGGCCUAGGGUAAAACCAGUGACUGGGGUUAAGUCGUAACAAGGUAACCA